rnacentral:lncRNA from 1 species
CAAGAAAUCACAUUCAUUUAUAUCGAUUCAAGAAGUUAAACAAGCAAGCCAUAAACAUAACAUACCGUCGAGAUAAUUAUCGGAACCACCAUCGAUUAACUAUCAAGACAUUAUCGCGAUAACACAUAAACCAUGACAAGCAAGAAAACAUCAAUGAAUCAAUCAAUAAAAACGACUCAAGACUCGGCCACGGUCACGCUCUCACCUUUCUCACACGAAUUCACUUUCUGACACCUCUUGUCGCUUAACUUACUCGAUCAGAUCCA